rnacentral:rRNA from 1 species
AGAGUUUGAUCCUGGCUCAGAUUGAACGCUGGCGGCAGGCCUAACACAUGCAAGUCGAACGGUAACAGGAAGAAGCUUGCUUCUUUGCUGACGAGUGGCGGACGGGUGAGUAAUGUCUGGGAAACUGCCUGAUGGAGGGGGAUAACUACUGGAAACGGUAGCUAAUACCGCAUAACGUCGCAAGACCAAAGAGGGGGACCUUCGGGCCUCUUGCCAUCGGAUGUGCCCAGAUGGGAUUAGCUUGUUGGUGGGGUAACGGCUCACCAAGGCGACGAUCCCUAGCUGGUCUGAGAGGAUGACCAGCCACACUGGAACUGAGACACGGUCCAGACUCCUACGGGAGGCAGCAGUGGGGAAUAUUGCACAAUGGGCGCAAGCCUGAUGCAGCCAUGCCGCGUGUAUGAAGAAGGCCUUCGGGUUGUAAAGUACUUUCAGCGGGGAGGAAGGGAGUAAAGUUUAUACCUUUGCUCAUUGACGUUACCCGCAGAAGAAGCACCGGCUAACUCCGUGCCAGCAGCCGCGGUAAUACGGAGGGUGCAAGCGUUAAUCGGAAUUACUGGGCGUAAAGCGCACGCAGGCGGUUUGUUAAGUCAGAUGUGAAAUCCCGGGCUCAACCUGGGAACUGCAUCUGAUACUGGAAGCUUGAGUCUCGUAAGGGGGGUAGAAUUCCAGGUGUAGCGGUGAAAUGCGUAGAGAUCUGGAGGAAUACCGGUGGGAAAGGCGGCCCUGGACGAAGACUGACGCUCAGUGCGAAAGCGUGGGGAGCAACAGGAUUAGAUACCCUGAGUCCACGCCGUAAACGAUGUCGACUUGGAGGUUGUGCCCUUGAGGCGUGGCUUCCGGAGCUAACGCGUUAAGUCGACCGCCUGGGGAGUACGGCCGCAAGGUUAAAACUCAAAUGAAUUGACGGGGGCCCGCACAAGCGGUGGAGCAUGUGGUUUAAUUCGAUGCAACGCGAAGAACCUUACCUGGUCUUGACAUCCACGGAAGUUUUCAGAGAUGAGAAUGUGCCUUCGGGAACCGUGAGACAGGUGCUGCAUGGCUGUCGUCAGCUCGUGUUGUGAAAUGUUGGGUUAAGUCCCGCAACGAGCGCAACCCUUAUCCUUUGUUGCCAGCGGUCCGGCCGGGAACUCAAAGGAGACUGCCAGUGAUAAACUGGAGGAAGGUGGGGAUGACGUCAAGUCAUCAUGGCCCUUACGACCAGGGCUACACACGUGCUACAAUGGCGCAUACAAAGAGAAGCGACCUCGCGAGAGCAAGCGGACCUCAUAAAGUGCGUCGUAGUCCGGAUUGGAGUCUGCAACUCGACUCCAUGAAGUCGGAAUCGCUAGUAAUCGUGGAUCAGAAUGCCACGGUGAAUACGUUCCCGGGCCUUGCACACACCGCCC